CGGUGCCGGUCGGGUGGCGGUGGUCGCCAGCCCGGUGCCGGCGGGUGUCGAGUGGUCGCCGGUUCGGUGCCGGUGGGCACCGG
rnacentral:tRNA from 2 species